AGUGAACGCUGGCGGUAGGCCUAACACAUGCAAGUCGAACGGCAGCACAGGAGAGCUUGCUCUCUGGGUGGCGAGUGGCGGACGGGUGAGGAAUACAUCGGAAUCUACUCUGUCGUGGGGGAUAACGUAGGGAAACUUACGCUAAUACCGCAUACGACCUACGGGUGAAAGCAGGGGACCUUCGGGCCUUGCGCGAUUGAAUGAGCCGAUGUCGGAUUAGCUAGUUGGCGGGGUAAAGGCCCACCAAGGCGACGAUCCGUAGCUGGUCUGAGGAGGAGAUCAGGCACACAGGAACUGAGACACGGUCCAGACUCCUACGGGAGGCAGCAGUGGGGAAUAUUUGACAAUGGGCGGAAGCCUUAUCCAGCCAUACCGCGUGGGUGAAAAAAGCCUUCGGGGUUUAAAGCCCUUUUGUUGGGAAAGAAAUCCAGCAGGCUAAUACCCGGUUGGGAUGACGGUACCCAAAGAAUAAGCACCGGCUAACUUCGUGCCAGCAGCCGCUGUAA
rnacentral:rRNA from 1 species